GUGUCAGCAGCCGCGGUAAUACGGAGGUCCCUAGCGUUGUUCGGAAUUACUGGGCGUAAAGGGGGCGCAGGCGGACAGGUCAGUGGAAAGUGGAAGCCCGAGGCUCAACCUCGGAAAGCCUUUCCAUACUGCCUGUCUUGAGUUCGUGAGAGGAGAGCGGAAUUCAGGGUGUAGCGGUGAAAUGCUUAGAUAUCCUGAGGAACACCAAUGGCGAAAGCAGCUCUCUGGCACGUUACUGACGCUGAGGCCCGAAAGCGUGGGGAGCGAACGGGAUUAGAUACCCCGGUAGUCC
rnacentral:rRNA from 1 species